rnacentral:tRNA from 1 species
CAUUAGGUGACUGAAAAGCAAGUAAUGGUCUCUUAAACCAAAUAAUAGUAAUUUUGCAAUUACUCCUAAUGA